GGGCCUUCAGCAGCUCCAGCUCCAGCCAGAACAUAAGUAUAUUUACCCUGAAGUGUAAGAGAAGGAUGUCAGAUUCCCCUUUAUUCUGAUGAGAAGGAGAUGGGGAAGGAGCCAAGGCUAUACUGCUGUGUGCAUCGCAGCCCCAGGAAACAGCAAAGAUAGCAGCCAGGUCUCUGCGCAGCCCCGAUGGUUUCCUGUAACCAUUUCUUCCUGGGUAUUUCAAAUAUCUCAUGGACUCGCCCAUCAGAGCUGAAAGCAGCAAGGUGGGCAGAGAAAGAGAAGAACCUAGGCAUCCAGAGAUUUGAGCAGGACCGAACCUGACAGUGGCUUCAGUAACUAAAUGUCCAUUAAAUCCAAAGUGCCGUGAGACUUAAACUGUACCCCAGGAAAUCGGACCCAGUCUGUGUUCCCAUUGAUUUAAAAAAAUUAAGACUCAGUGGUAUAAGGUAUUUCAUUAUUAUUUAAUAAAAGCCUAUUACGGAUUGUAAUUUUCAGUGACUGACUUAAUUUUACUUAUUAAUGUUCAUUUAAAUCUUAGCUUAUUGUAUGUUCAAUGCUGCAAGUACUGGAACCAUUGUUCCAUAGAAAUCAGCUGUUUGGAAUUUUCUCAUCAGUGUAAACAAGACGCCCCGCCCUUCUUCCAAAAACGUUUAGAUUAGUGGGGUUUUCUUACAUUUAAGUCAAUGAUUGACCAGGACCAAACUGGAGGAUAAUUGUUUUUUGAAUCAGAAGCACCAAAGUGAAAUGAAUUUUAUUAAUUUCAAAAUCUGACAUUUUGAGAACCCUUUGAUAGGAGCAGGGAUUCUGUAAAUAACCUCCCAGGGAAUCAGUUCCGUGCACCCUCUCUUAAAAUGCAACAUUAAGAGCUUUGCAAAGCAAGAUGUGGGUUCACUGGGAAUGUGACUGAUUUACAUUUUCUGAGUUUAGUGAAUUCAAAUCAAAUUUAUUUCCUCCUAAAUGAGUUUGCACUAGCGGAAGGCACUUGUAUGGAAAUGACCCUCUGUCACUGUGUGGUUGCCGGCCCCAGAGAGUGAGGUGGCCUUGGAACUGGAGCCCAGGCCAGGGCUUAGGCCUGGGGAGCCGCCCAAGGCCUCCUCCGUCUUCUGCCUCCCCAAGGACGUGGCUCCCGCCAGGCCCUGAGAUGUGGGUCCCGGAGCCCUCCCCUCAGACCGAUUGUUCAGGGCACAAGAGUGACAAGCCUUUAGCCCUUCGCUGCAGCUCCUGAGAUGUGAGUGCAUGGGCGCCAGCUUUUCCCUGUCGUCGGACUGUGGGGACUUUGGUUUAAAAAACAGAAAGCGAACCAUGUUUGAGGAAAGGCAACUUCCUACAGUGUCCUUGAUAGGAAAUCUCUUCAUUUCCCUACCAACUGCAGCUCUCAGCCUGCAUCGGCUUAAACUCCACCCCACCCACCCCACAUGGGGAAGGUUAGAGUGGGAGGAUUGGAUGGGGGUCCUGGUGUCAGGGGUCACAGUGGGGGUGUAGGACCAGGAACUGGCAGGAGCACUGUAGCCCAGGCCCCUCAGAGGCACGCCCUCAGCCACACCUUCAUUUUCUGUGAUCUUAGUUUUGAGUGAGGAAUGCAUUUUGAUGUACCUUAAUUGUUCUUAAACGCAUAUUAAGGUCUGUUAUCCAGAAAUCUAUUCCACCUUUCCCUGAAGCCCUUGUAGGUUAGGUAUUGGCUUCAUAAGCUAUCCUUCCUGACCCUGGUGGCCAGUACGUAACUCCAGGUUAUUCCGUCUUUGUGCCUAUCCUGUCCCAGUGGACCUUGAGGCGUGGUCUCGCUUGGUCUCUGUGCUCUGCCAUCUUCGCAGUGGCAGCGCCGUCCUCUGAGAGCUCCCCUGGAAGUCCCUGGACCUUGGAAGCCUGGCGGGGAGUGGCCAUGUCCAGGGAGUGGGAGGCAGCCCUUCUCUGCGGGCCUGUCACAAGCAAGGAAACCUUCCUAGAAGUGUCUAGCUGACUCUCUGCAGGUCUCCUUGGCCAGGAGUUGGUCAGGUGUCCCUUUAGCCAGGAGAAUGGGACUGUCCAGGCUGCUCAGCUGCAUCAGGAUUGAACUUGAUCCCUGGCAGAGGGGUGCACCCUACAGAACCUGCGCCUGCCAGCAGGGAGGGGAGCUGUCGCUCCUGGGGCUGCAGUUCUGCCACCAGCCUUCCCAACCAGGACUCAGAGAACCUGGACCAUUAUAUUUCUCCAGUGCUGCAUCACAGGCAAAAUAUGUGUCCUUUUCUUUCUAUGUUAUGAUAAUUAGGGAAUGAGAAGCUGAUGACCUUGGGCCUCUAUUGCCCAUCAUCUGAGCUGGACCCAGCUGGGCCAUGUGCAGACCUUGCUCCCGAUAAAUUGGACCUUAGAGUCGGAAGCGUUAGUAAAGGCUUCCCUCUGUUUUACAAAGAGGGAAACUGAGGCUCAAGCUGCCGGGAGCGGGGGUGGGACCUUAUAGCUCCUUUAGCUGAAGCUUUGGGUGCCUCACAUCCUUCCUACUUUGGGGACUCCUAGUCUCCCUGCCCCAGGCAGUCACUGCUAUUGUGCACUUAAGUUUCUCUCUCUGUUAAAACCUCCUCGGGAGCUAAAGAACCAAAUAGCAGUCAUUUAUAGCCUAGCGCGAAUGUCAGAUAUUUCGCCCAAGUCUUCUCGAAUCCUUGAAAGGCAUUUUGAGCUUUAUUAACAGGUGUAGGGUGACUGGGGUAGUGGCCAGGAGACCUCGAAUUCUCUUCUGGGUCCUCUGUGUCUUGUCCCCAGGAGGUGUCUCUCCUGUGCUCUGUCUCCCGGGGGGCAGUCCCCCACAACCAUCCCAACAGCCACCGCUCGGGGACAAAGGGAAGAGCAUCCCGCCCCACCUGGCCUUGACCCUUCUUUUAACCGAAAAGUGUUUUGUGAGUAAACUCCAGGCUCUGCCGUCUCCCCCCAGGUCAGAGGUGAGGGGAGGCUCGCGGGCAACCGGCUGCAGCUCCCAUGGGGGCCCCAAGCCCCACAGGUGACGUCUGACACGUGCCCCCUCCCAGGCAGACGUCCCUCUCCAUGCGGAGAUGCCUUGUUUCUGGAAGUCGAAUGCAUGAUCCCAGAGACCCAGGAAGUGCUAUUUGUACUCCACACGUUUCCUUUAUUCUGUGCAGGAAGAAUCCUGGGGUCCCAUCAAAGUCCCCUAGAGUGUCUAGGAAGUGACUUGAUUGCCACUCUGAGGGUUGUUUGAAGCGAAGUGUGGAUAGUGUUUGCCCCAAAGCAGGGAUCCUCUGAGCUGUUCAGAUGGAAGCAGCAUUAGGGUGGAAAAGGGACAGGUGGGCUAAGAAGGUGGUGCCAGUGGCACACCUGACAACUUGUCUUGUGCCCCCCCCAUGCCACUCAAUGUGGCUUCAGGCCCACUCCUUCCAGUCCCAAGUGCUCUCAUCCCAGUGCUGUUGGCUUUCUGGCUGAGACUGUUCGUCAUUGGGGUCUGUUCCCCCCAUGGGGGCUCUAGAGCCUUGGCUGCCCCCCACUCAGUUCCCCAGCCAGGCUGGUGACAGCCAGGUGCCCCACUCCCUGCUGCCAGCCUCAGGGGACAUCCUGCUCAUGGGACACAGAGCUAGUUCAGGGUCAGGACUCUGGUGCCUGACCUGGUCCCAGGCUUGAGCCUGUCCUUGAUUUGCUCUGUUUUUAGGGCCAUUUUCUGAAUCUUCCUUAUGUCAUCCACCUGGACCCACACAGGUUCCCUCAACCGAUGGAGGGAGCAUGGGUGCCCCCGGACUUCUGUGGAUCCCGCAUCUCGGCAUCGAGUGUGUCCUCACAGCCGAGGGAUCACUGAGCAGAAUCCAGGCGGUGGGGGCCCCAUCCUGUAGGGUCUCCGUGUCAGGCCUGCCCCUCACCCAUCUCAGGGCCAGGCCUGGGCUCUGUUCCCAGGGCCCGGGCCACCGUGACGUCUGCAUAACACACUUCAAAGGGGCACAGGGCUGGGGAGGCCUGGCUGUUUCUUGGACAUCAAACAGCGCUUGCAAAAUAGUUAAUGACUUAUGAAUGAAUCAGAACCAGACGGAUUCAAUUUCCCCCAGAAUGCAUCCUGAAGACCUCUUACACAUACCCACCCCCGAGAACACUCAGCCCUCCCCGGGGAUGCGGUCUUGGCCACAGGGGCUGGGGGCUGGGGAAGCCAGUGUGCUUUUAGCCCAUGAGACUCCCCAGCUCCUCAUUCCUUCCUUUCUCCUGGUUGCCACUCUUCCUAGAAGGAGAUCACCCAUCAGAGCCCUGUCAAAGGGCUGAGUGACAUCAGACCAUGGGCUCUGUGGUUAGGCUGGGAGGCCGUGUAUAAGUUCAAGUCACUCUCCUGCCCAUCCGUCCUGGCGGUGGUCGGGUCUAAGUGUCACCUUGGGCCUCAUGCUCCACUGUCACCCUGGGCCUUGCCGCAGUCUUGCUUUUGGAGGAGGAGGUGUGUUGUUAUUGGACUUGCUUUCAUAGAAGCAAUAAUCAGACACCUUAAAAAAUUGUAAGUAUUGCUUUGUGUGUCACUAUAGCUCAAUAGAAAACCCACGGAAAACAGACACCAGCAAUCCUCAGGAACAAAACAAAUGGACAGUCAGAAGUGGUCUGUUUGGUAGUUGUAAUAAUUAGAAAUUCACUGGGAGGUUGUUCUGUGCCUGAAAUGCAGUGGCUCUUGAGAUCAGUGGUGUCCAUCUGUGUGCAUCCGCACGUGAGAGAGACAGAGCCAGACAGAGACAGAGACAAAUAGAGAGAGACAGAGAAAGAGACAGUGACAGGGAGAGACAGAGACAGAGAUAGAGUGGGACAGAGACAGAGAGACAGAGAGACACAGAGAGAGAGGAACGGAGAGAGAGAGGGACAGAGAGAGGGGGAGAAAGACAGACAUAAAGAGACAGAGAGAGCGAGAAAGAGAGAGGGAGAGAGAGAGGGACAGAAGGAGACAGACAGGAGACAGACACAGACCGGGAAGUGAGUCCACGCUGCCCUGUGGUGUGGGUGUUUCGUAAGGUUUUUACUGGCUCCCACCACUGUGUACAUAGGGCCCUAUUAGCAGUUGCUUGGCCAAGAAUAAAGAAUCUCUAAUUCUGUUUUAGAAAUACAAUUUAAGGAGCUGGAGUUUAAAAUAACUGUCCUGAGCUUCGGAAAACUCAUCUCUGGAAACCAUCCAUGGAAGGAUGUUUGUAUCCCCAGAGGGUCUCAUGGGGCAAAAAGCAAGUCAGAUUUUUCUGCAUUUCAGGCAGCGGCUCCUGAAAGGUGCCUCAUGCAUCUCCUUCAGACAGUGACUGCCUUGCUUUUGCGAGAGCCAGGGCCCCUCCAGUGCCCUCAGUCACAUUCUCAACUGCAACCAGAAGGUUUAAAAUCCAGUACUUUGAGUGCUGUAUACCCUCCAUGUGUGUCUGGUUCUGCUUUGUGGAAGCAGCUCGUGUCAGAGAUGCAGCAAGUCCAGCUCCUAAUGCUUAGUGCAGGGGAGGAGACGGGGAGACCGAUAACGCUGCCUUGUCUGCAGGGCAGCCCUGCCUUUUACUUUCAGCCCUUUCUAAAAAUGGCACAUGCAAAGUAAGAAAACAAGUUUAUCUGUUGCUGGGAGGAACACAGGCGGGAGAGGAGUCUAGUCUCCAGCUUGGUGUGAUUUUAUUUUUAUCUUUCACUUUUGCAGCAGAACAUCAGGGAGCUAGUGCAAAGCCAGGUCGGCCUGGGCUUCAGGUAGCAUCAUCAGGGUCAUAGAGGUUGAUUUCACCUGGCCCGGGAUGGGGACCGUGUGAAGUUGGGGGUUGAGGAUGAGGAGACUCCUCCGUGGAGUCUCUUUAGAAAAGCCCAGUUGCGUGUGUCUUUGUAACUCAAGAAGACACCAACCCCCGACUGUCCUUCUCUUGAGGCGGUCAGUCAGUUCACAGGGCACUGGUCUGGGAUGUGGGCAGAUAAGCAGCCGGGCCUGCUCCAAGACCCCAGUCGUCCUGCAGCUUCUGCACUUGCCAUCCUGUCUCUGUGCUUCUUAUUUGCACAAGCUCAGGGUAGGGGGGUUGGAGGCAGGAACCAGCAUUUGGAUUCAUGGCUGGGCAAUCCAGAACAGUCGAAGAACCAGGAGAUAAUUUAUGUUUUGUUCUGGGUUACUUAUUUUUAUGGAGUGAUAGUGAGAGAAAUAAUGACUUUAGUUUCCUAAGUAUAAACUCCUUGCGCCGGUAUUAAAAUUCGCAGUUGUUUGCAUUUGCUGAGUGCAUAUCCGCUGUGGGGGAAGAGAACCCAAGGCAGAGUGUGGCAGGGGGUUGAGGGGGAGAAGCCAGGAAUUUAGGUGCUGCUGUGGCUUCUCUCAAAACAGAUUCUAACGACCACAGACUCUCCGAGUUACAUUAAUUGUACCUGAGAAAAAGUAGGCAGGUCGAUGUUUGAUGAAAUCCUGUUAUGAUUGCUUGCAAAGGAAGUUAUUGCCAACACAAUUCUGGAUUUUAACGGAUCUGAUCUGCUUAAAGCAUGAUGCACCCAUGCACACAAUAAGUCAGUGCUUGAGACGAGAGACCUGUUCAGGGAGUCAGACUUAGUUCUUGGAAUGCAGAGCUUGGCAUUUUAGAGAGAGGGUGCUUUGUCCUGCUCAGACUUUACUGCUGUUGGCAUCUUGCCAUCACCUGGAGUGUGGUCUCCGCUGUUUCUGAUCAGCUGCCCUCCUUCCUCUGCAUGCUUAUUGCGCGCUCUGCAUCUGGGGUGAUGCUUAAGCGGAGGUUAGGAAGGUGAACAGUUAGGUGUGAUUUCUGCCUUUGUGGAGCCUAAAGGCUGGCGGGAGACACUGGCAGAGGACACAGAACUGCUGGGCACCAGGCCUUCUCUCCUCUGAUGCUCUGAUGACAGGACCAACCUGGAAGACCCUGGAGCUGGUUCUGUCACCUGGCCCUUGGAGGUGUUUGCAAUUUCCCCAUGUUUUGUAUUGUUAGGGCACCUUACUUUUUGGAAUGAGCAUCACGAUGGCUCUGCUGGUAUCACAGUCGUAAAAGGAACCAUAAACCACCCAGUGCUGCCUCCCACGGCCGCACUCUUGGGGCUGGGGCCUCUUUAGGCAUUUUCCAAGAGGAACGGUCCAUGGGGCCCCUGCUACCUCCUGUUCUCAGAGAGCCAAGGAGUGGGGUGAGUUCCAGCUGCCUGGACAGCCCCUGCUUCAGGGUGGAGGUGAGGUCGACCCUGGAUGUCAGUGCCUGGAGCCAAGGGGGCACCCCUACCCAGGCUCUGCGAGGCAGCCUCUCGGGACUGCUGGCUCUCUGCCUUUGGGCUGUAGCCGUCACCCCUGCCUGGUGUCCUGUCAGCGCGGCUCUAGGAGCAGCUGUGGGGGCUGCCUGGGAAGGAGGCGGCGAGCUUGCUGCUGGUUACACAUGGACAUGGAGACAUAGCGGCUUUAUUUUUAGGCUUCGCUAAUUCUCGCUCUCCUCCUAGUUCUCAGCUCCCUGGCAACAGCUUGUUGUCAUGGCAACGCCCAUGUUAAUGAGUGAGGCUCUCGGUGUGUCUGUUCCACCCCGGCCAGGACAGUGGUUCUGCCUGGAGCCCAGGAGAGGAUGGAGGGUUUAUAGUUUUGCUUACAUGGCCCUGAUGCCAUCUCGGUUUGCAGGCCUCUCCUCCAGCCGGGCCCGCAUGGUCUGCCUGGGGAUGCAGCUGGUCAUCAGGGCCUGGUCCUGAAUUCUCAAGGGAGGACACUUCCAACAAGUCCUGGGCGGCUCCUUCCACCCUGGACAUGGGCAGGGACCACUUCUUCGGUGCCUCCUCCCAGUCCCUGCUGCCUUGAAGGACUGGAUUAUAAUUCCCUUGAGGACGGAAGAGGCCUCGAAGUGCUUCCUACCUGCUUCCUCAUAUCAGCAUUCCUUCCAAGAAAGGCCCAGGCUCUUAAUGCACAAUUAGAGAUAAAAGGCUGAAACCGGAGGAGGUGAUGCUUGGAGUGGGCGUUUCUCAGUUGAAAUAUAAUCAGUCCAACAACUAGGAUAAUUGACUGGUUAUCAAACCAUUUUUGCUUUUGAUGGUAGGAAAGGAGAGAAGUUAUUUGCAAGGCAGAGAUUUUGUAAAUAAAGAGAAGAGCCACCACUCCAGGAAAGUUUAGAGCAGUGAUUCUCCCUCCUGCAAAAUUAUCUCGGGAGGGGCGUUCAAAACAUAUCCACUUCCUCUGCCUCAGCCCAGGGAUUGGAAUUCAGUGGGGCCCGACACCCCAAGAUGAUUGCCGUACUGGUUGAACCACUACAACCCAGUUGCAGUCAGAUUAAACCACUGAAAGAUGGAGGCAGACUUGCAGACCCCAGCAUGGAGUUCACUGUUUCUCAGGCCUGGACCAAUGGAAGACAUGUCCUAACUUUAACCUGCAGUGCUAUGUUCUGAAAUAUACAUCAGGAAUUGAGAAGUUUAGGUGCUUAAAAAAAAAAAAAAAA
ensembl:lncRNA